GACGAACGCUGGCGGCGUGCUUAACACAUGCAAGUCGAACGGAAAGGCCCUGCUUUUGUGGGGUGCUCGAGUGGCGAACGGGUGAGUAACACGUGAGUAACCUGCUCUUGACUUUGGGAUAACUUCAGGAAACUGGGGCUAAUACCGGAUAGGAUCUCCUGCUGCAUGGUGGGCGUUGGAAAGUUUCGGCUGUUGGGGAUGGACUCGCGGCUUAUCAGCUUGUUGGUGGGGUAGUGGCUUACCAAGGCUUUGACGGGUAGCCGGCCUGAGAGCGUGACCGGCCACAUUGGGACUGAGAUACGGCGCAGUCUCCUACGGGAGGCAGCAGGCGGGAAUAUUGCACAAUGGGCGGGAGUCUGAGACAGCAACGCCGCGUGCGGAAUGACGGCCUUCGGGUUGUAAACCGCUUUCGCCUGUGACGAAGCGUUAGUGACGGUAAUGAGUAAAGAAGCACCGGCUAACUACGUG
rnacentral:rRNA from 1 species